GUGGGAAGUUCAAGGAGCACAACGUGCCUGACUCUGAUCCGGCCUCACAGGACAUUGACGCUACAAUUUCCCUCCAGUUGGGAGAUGGCAAGAAGGGUGGUCGGUUAUAUGUUGGCGACGGUGCCAUCCGUAAGUAGGACAUCCCAAAACUCUCUCACCUCCGUGCUACCACGUCGAGCUCAGGUCCUGCUAUAGAGCGUCGCCCACAGCCUGGGCUACACAUGCUCCAUCAACUCGAGGCCAAUGCCAGGCUUCGAGAGGAGGAAGCCAUGAAAAUGCAGCAGGCCCUGUUUCAACAGCAAGAAUUCAUGGUUAAACAACAGGCAAUCCUGCAGGAGACAUUUGCUCAACUCAGAAAUAAUAUGCAGGGUUCCACUUUGCCCGUUCUUCCUCCUCUUCCGACUCUUCCUAAUUUCAACUUUUUUUCUCAGUCGGGACAAGGCUCCAAUAACUGUGUGGUAGGUGGAUCUUCACCUGGCCAAACAAGUCCAGUGACACCCAUUACGGUUCAUGUCUCUUCGACCUCCCCGCAACAAUGAUCACUUGAGGUUUGCAUUGUGGAUGGCGUUGACGAUGGGCAUAUAUGCUGCGGUGGAGCUCAUUGGUUCAUGCUUGGUGUGAACUUGGAACUCAUGAUCCUUUAAUUUGUGAACCUCUGGUUGCAUAUGUAUGUAUGUUGUUGUGA